AAAUUGAAGAGUUUGAUCAUGGCUCAGAUUGAACGCUGGCGGCAGGCCUAACACAUGCAAGUCGAACGGUAACAGGAAGCAGCUUGCUGCUUUGCUGACGAGUGGCGGACGGGUGAGUAAUGUCUGGGAAACUGCCCGAUGGAGGGGGAUAACUACUGGAAACGGUGGCUAAUACCGCAUAACGUCGCAAGACCAAAGAGGGGGACCUUCGGGCCUCUUGCCAUC
rnacentral:rRNA from 2 species